CUCAAAGGAAUAGACGGGGACCCGCACAAGCGGUGGAGCAUGUGGUUUAAUUCGACGAUACGCGAAGAACCUUACCUGGACUUGACAUAGUAAGAAUGUUUUAGAGAUAGAACAGUGUCUGCUUGCAGAAACUUGCAUACAGGUGCUGCACGGCUGUCGUCAGCUCGUGUCGUGAGAUGUUGGGUUAAGUCCCGCAACGAGCGCAACCCUCGUCGUUAGUUGCUAACAGUUCGGCUGAGAACUCUAACGAGACUGCCUGGGCAACCAGGAGGAAGGUGAGGACGACGUCAAGUCAUCAUGGCCCUUACGUCCAGGGCUACACACGUGCUACAAUGGGGUAUACAAAGAGCAGCGAUACGGUGACGUGGAGCAAAUCUUAAAAAUAUCUCCCAGUUCGGAUAGUAGUCUGCAACUCGACUACUUGAAGUUGGAAUCGCUAGUAAUCGUAGAUCAGCAAUGCUACGGUGAAUACGUUCCCGGGUCUUGUACUCACCGCCCGUCACACCAUGGGAGUUGAUUUCAUUCGAAGCGGGGAUGCUAAGAUAGCUACCUUCCACAGUGGAAUUAGCGACUGGGGUGAAGUCGUAACAAGGUAACCGUA
rnacentral:rRNA from 1 species